GGCCUGAUGGUCUAGGAGUAUGAUUCGUUGUUAGGGUUUCUGCUAUCGACGAGGUCCCGGGUUCAAUUCCCGGUCAGGCCC
rnacentral:tRNA from 1 species